UAAAUAUCCUGGUCUCUGUAUUAAGUGCUUGAAUAUUCCUAGCCACUGAUUAAAAAAUGGAGAAAGAAACGUUUCCAGAAAUUAAUGAAUAAAGAAAUUAUUCUGGAUUUUGUUUUUGGAAUUCUUGUAAUGUAAUUUUAUCAAGUAGAGAGUUCACAACAUGGGGAAAGAAUCAAUGCUUGAAAGAGAACCAAGUUAGCAUGAUCUUCCACCGGCUCGGUUUCAGCGCACCGAUCAGUGGAUACCGGUCUAUUCAUGGUUAGAAUCUUUGGAUACCGAUGAAGUGGUCCAAUCGAAAGAUAUUUUGGAUUGGUUGAACGAUAACCCACAAGUCAAGGACCAAUUGUGCUCUAGGCAUUCGCGGUACCAUUUGAUGCACUACAUAAAAAAGUGCCAUUUAAAGAUAUUAAAGAGGAGGGAAAAGAAGGUUGGAUCGCAGCCCUUGAAUAAAGAAAGUGUUUUGAAAGUUCGGAAGGAUGUAGUGGCAAAAAACCAGCACCAGUGCCUAGUAUGUCUCAAAUUUCUGUUAAUUUUAUAUAAUGUUUAGGGCAGGUUUGAUGUUCGAUGCAAAAAGAGCAUUCUUUUGCUUUCCUGAGAGGAGAGGAGAGGAGAGGAGAGGAGAGAUAAUCAUUGUCGAGACACAUUGCAUAUAGGAAAUUUGUAAUGGUAAUUUACUUAAGUAGAUGUUUACAAAUCUAGAAAUUAAUUCAGAUCAAACACGAAUGGUUUGUAAUCAUACCAUUAUGACUAUUAAAUAAAUUUAGUGGGAUAUUUCUAGUGUC